AACGCAAAUUGCGCUCCAUGGUAACGUGGAGCAUGCCUGGUUGAGUAUCAGUAACCCACCUCACCCAAAUACCCUUUGGGUGGAUAUGAGGCGUCUCGGUCUAUUCAAGGCCAAGUCCCUUUAAGAAUCGAGAUGUGCGCCAUAUGCUUAUGUCGUACAAAUGAUGUGGUAGUUUGUUUUACAAAACUUCAUCAUUUGACAUGUAGCCUGUGCCCACAUUUGCCCUCUCUGCGCGAGAGAACCACUGGCCUCACGGCCUUUGAAUCCUUGAUCUCAACUCAGGUAAGACUACCCGCUGAACUUAA
rnacentral:misc_RNA from 1 species